UACACCAGUAGCACCUCAGGUGCCUCCGGUUGCUCCUCCACCUCAGGCGCCUACAGUUGAUCAUCCAGUUGGGCCAAUCACUCGGGCCCGUGCGAGAGAAUUACACUUUAUCAUGCUGUUAAGGAACGAAGGCCCAGCGGAAUAAGAAGAAGGCCCAACAGGGCAGCCCAGUUGGGGCGCCUAGGGUUGGGAGCCGUGGCCCUCCCCCAGGUUGCGCGGGCCCCCCUCCUGCCGUCGUGCCUCCUCCAGACUCCAGGGGCUGCGCCCCCUUUAUUUAGUCAGACUCCCUUUUGUUUACGACUUGAGUUUUGUUUUACAUCUAGCUUUGGCUACUCUUGAACACGCGCAAAUACGCGCUGUCCUUGUGUGAUUCAGAACUCCACCUUCGAGUGAUAUUUAGAUUGCUCGCCUCUCUUUCUUGUUCGUUCUUCGAUUGC
rnacentral:lncRNA from 1 species